ensembl:lncRNA
CUUAAAAGAUGAAUACAAAUGAGGAAUGGUGGGAAAGGUGGGAGUACUGUAAUUACCUAACGUUACAUUAUUAUUUUCCAUAACAAUUUAGCCCCCUCCACAAUAUUAACUGACGUUAAAACAGUUAACUAGCUAUUUAUUGAUUAGCAAUUAGCGAAUCAUGUAACAUUAGCUUAAUGCUAAAAAUUUAGGUUACUAUCACAUUCAGACAAAUAAUUUCAUGUAGGCUAACGUUACCUACCUCUGUCUUUUUCUCGUUUCUCCUCCUCUUCUUCUCUCUUUUUUCUUCCCUGGGCACCUGACAGUUUUGGCCGCUUUGACAUCUUGUGUUGAUUUUUUUGUUGUGGUGACGUCCAAAAGGAACCAUGAUACGGGAAGGGAGGGGGCGCACCGUGCGGGGAGGGGGGGCGUAAUGUUGUAACAAAUAAUAUUUCUAUUAAAUAAGCUUUACUUUGCAUUUUAAUUAACGUGGGAUUAUUUUUUGUAUUUAGAAAUAAUAGUACCAGCUUUUUUUCUUUUUCUUUUUUUUCCCCAAACAUUUGUGGCACUGGCGUGGCGCCCCCUGAUGGCCGGCGCCCUUAGCAUUUGCCUAUACGGCCUAUGCCACGGGCCGGCCCUGCUUGCCGCUCCUGCUUUCACACAUCCGUUUAAACUCAAGGUGGAUGCCAGCGCCGAUGGUGCAGGUGCGGUGCUGUUGCAGGAGGAUAGGCAGGGUGUUGAUCACCCAAAUGGUUACUUUUCAAAAAUAUUCAACUCCCACCAACAGAAAUACAGUACCAUUGAAAAGGAAGCUCUUUCUCUGUUGCUUGCUCUACAGCAUUUCGAGGUCUAUGUCGGUUCUAGUUCAGCACCUGUCAUUGUUUACACCGAUUACAACCCCCUCAUGUUUUUGACUAGGAUGCAAAAUUCUAACCAAAGGCUUAUGAGAUGGUCCCUCUUAGUGCAGGAUUUCAAUCUGGAGAUCCAUCACAAAAAAGGGACAGAGAAUGUAAUGGCAGAUGCGCUGUCGC